GAUGAACGCUGGCGGCAUGCCUAACACAUGCAAGUCGAACGAGACCUUCGGGUCUAGUGGCGCACGGGUGCGUAACGCGUGGGAAUCUACCCUUGGGUUCGGAAUAACAGUUAGAAAUGACUGCUAAUACCGGAUGAUGACGUAAGUCCAAAGAUUUAUCGCCCAAGGAUGAGCCCGCGUAAGAUUAGCUUGUUGGUGGGGUAAUGGCCUACCAAGGCGACGAUCUUUAGCUGGUCUGAGAGGAUGAUCAGCCACACUGGGACUGUGACACGGCCCAGACUCCUACGGGAGGCAGCAGUGGGGAAUAUUGGACAAUGGGCGAAAGCCUGAUCCAGCAAUGCCGCGUGAGUGAUGAAGGCCUUAGGGUUGUAAAGCUCUUUUACCAGGGAUGAUAAUGACAGUACCUGGAGAAUAAGCUCCGGCUAACUCCGUGCCAGCAGCCGCCGUAA
rnacentral:rRNA from 1 species